AUGAGCUUAAGAUUUUGGAUUCAACUUUUGGAAGAUCAUGGCACAAUAAAGAAGCAAGUCAACUACGAAAUUGAUUCAUUACAAAAGUUAUUCAACUUCAUUCAAGUUAAUGUUCACUCCAAAUACUCAUUCAUGUUUCAAAAAGUCAAGAAUCAUCCAUGUACAUUUAAAUCCAUUCAAGGUCCUUAA